AGCGAACGCUGGCGGCAGGCCUAAAACAUGCAAGUCGAACGCCCGUAGCAAUACGGGAGUGGCAGACGGGUGAGUAACACGUGGGAACGUGCCCUUUGGUUCGGAACAACACAGGGAAACUUGUGCUAAUACCGGAUAAGCCCUUACGGGGAAAGAUUUAUCGCCAGAGGAUCGGCCCGCGUCUGAUUAGCUAGUUGGUGAGGUAACGGCUCACCAAGGCUACGAUCAGUAGCUGGCUGAGAGGAUGAUCAGCCACACUGGGACUGAGGACACGGCCCAGACUCCUACGGGAGGCAGCAGUUAGGAAUCUUGGACAAUGGGCGCAAGCCUGAUCCAGCCAUGCCGCGUGAGUGAUGAAGGCCUUAGGGUU
rnacentral:rRNA from 1 species